rfam:Myotis lucifugus cont2.44511, whole genome shotgun sequence.
GGUGGUUCUCAGGUGAUGUACCCUGGAAUCAGGCUACCUCUUUUCUGGUUCCAGGGUGCGUUACCUGAGAACCCCA